UGUGUAGGCGGUCUUCUAAGUUUGGUGUGAAAUCUCCCGGCUUAACCGGGAGGGUGCGCCGAAAACUGGGAGACUAGAGUGCGGGAGGGGAGAGUGGAAUUCCUGGUGUAGCGGUGAAAUGCGUAGAUAUCAGGAGGAACACCGGUGGUGUAGACGGCUCUCUGGACCGUAACUGACGCUGAGACACGAAAGCGUGGGUGGCAAACAGGAUUAGAUACCCUGGUAGUCCACGCCCUAAACGAUGCAUAUUUGGUGUAGGUCAUUCAGUUGAUCUGUGCCGGAGCUAACGCGUUAAAUAUGCCGCCUGGGGAGUACAGUCGCAAGGCUGAA
rnacentral:rRNA from 1 species